rnacentral:misc_RNA from 1 species
GAUGAAGAACGCAGCGAAAUGCGAUACGUAAUGUGAAUUGCAGAAUUCAGUGAAUCAUCGAGUCUUUGAACGCACAUUGCGCCCCCUGGUAUUCCGGGGGGCAUGCCUGUCCGAGCGUCAUUGCUGCCCUCAAGCACGGCUUGUGUGUUGGGCCUCCGUCCUCCUCCCGGGGGACGGGCCCGAAAGGCGGCGGCGGCACCGCGUCCGGUCCUCGAGCGUAUGGGGCUUCGUCACCCGCUCUUGUAGGCCCGGCCGGCGCUUGCCGACACAUCAAUCUUUUUUCCAGGUUGACCUCGGAUCAGGUAGGGAUACCCGCUGAACUUAAGCAUAUCAAUAAGCGGAGGA